UACGUAGGGUGCAAGCGUUGUCCGGAAUUAUUGGGCGUAAAGAGCUCGUAGGCGGUUUGUCGCGUCUGGUGUGAAAAUCCAGGGCUUAACCCUGGACCUGCAUCGGGUACGGGCAGACUAGAGUGCGGUAGGGGAGAUCGGAAUUCCUGGUGUAGCGGUGAAAUGCGCAGAUAUCAGGAGGAACACCGGUGGCGAAGGCGGUUCUCUGGGCAUUACCUGACGCUGAGGAGCGAAAGUGUGGGGAGGCGAACAGG
rnacentral:rRNA from 1 species